GACGAACGCUGGCGGCGUGCUUAACACAUGCAAGUCGAACGGAAAGGCCCUGCUUUUGGGGGGUUCUCGAGUGGCGAACGGGUGUGUAACACGUGAGUAACCUGCCCUUGACUGUGGGAUAACUUCAGGAAACUGGGGCUAAUACCGGAUAGGAGCUCUUUCGUCAUGGGGGUGGUUGGUAAGUUUCGGCGGUUGGGGAUGGACGGGCGGCUUAUCAGCUGGUUGGGGGGGUAGUGGCUUACAAGGGCUCUGGCGGUUAGCCGGCCUGCGUGGGUGACCGGCCACAUUGGGACUGAGGUACGGCCCAGAGUCCUACGGGGGCCAGAAGUGGGAAAUAUUGCACAAUGGGCCGAAGCCUGAUCAAGCACCGCCGCGUGCGGGAUAACGGCCUUCGGGGUGUAACCCGCUUUCGCCUGUGACGAAGCGUGAGUGACGGUAAUGGGUAAAGAAGCACCGGCUAACUACGUG
rnacentral:rRNA from 1 species